AGAAAAAGGAACCUAGCCCUCAAUGAAUAAAUAAUUUAAGGAUCUGUCAUUAUCUUGCUUGAAAUCAGAAGAGAGGAAGAAUACAUAGAAUGCCUAUUUUUGACAGUAUUUUGUCUGUUUUUCAAGUUAAAUAUUUUCCCUUGUUCAUCAAAUGAUGCUAAUAUAUCUUUACUAUGUUAGGAUGUAUAGUCAUCAUCCAAUAUGGAUAAAUCCACUCUCCUAUGAGCCUCAAAAGACCUAACCACAGAAGAGCAAUAUGACUAAGGGAAGAGAAUGGAACUGACACCAUGCCCUGGGUUAUUCUAAUAUUUGAAAUUGAUCUCUGGAGGAGAAACUACAUAAGACACUGUGAGCAUGAAGAAUAUUAACAGAACUAAAGCAGGAUCAAGCCCAAUGCACUGAUGACGAAUAUCCUAAAUGGAACAUGCUCCGUCAUCUCAACAUGUUUGACCCUCACAUGACAAAAAAUCAGCAUCGAUGAUCCCCAGGAAGAGGGGGUGGUGGCACUUUAUGAUCGGAAAGGUUCUUUCUGCUCCCAGACUUUCCUAAUGCAGCCCUCCA